UACGUAGGGAGCAAGCGUUGUCCGGAAUCAUUGGGCGUAAAGCGCGCGUAGGCGGCCUCAUAAGUCCGUUGUGAAAGUCAAAGGCUCAACCUUUGAAAGCCGAUGGAUACUGUGAGGCUAGAGUCCGGAAGAGGCGAGUGGAAUUCCUGGUGUAGCGGUGGAAUGCGCAGAUAUCAGGAGGAACACCAAUAGCGAAGGCAGGCUCCGUGGGACGUAGCUGACGCUAGACACGAAAGCGUGGGG
rnacentral:rRNA from 1 species